UACGAAGGGGGCUAGCGUUGCUCGGAAUCACUGGGCGUAAAGGGCGCGUAGGCGGCCAUUCAAGUCAGAGGUGAAAGCCCAAGGCUCAACCUUGGAACUGCCUUUGAUACUGUUUGGCUUGAGACCGGUAGAGGUAAGUGGAACUGCGAGUGUAGAGGUGAAAUUCGUAGAUAUUCGCAAGAACACCAGUGGCGAAGGCGGCUUACUGGACCGGUUCUGACGCUGAGGCGCGAAAGCAUGGGGAGCAAACAGG
rnacentral:rRNA from 1 species